rnacentral:miRNA from 1 species
CUGUUUGCUACUAGCUCCAUAUAUGCAUCGAUCCAUGCCUCUCAUCCUCGCCAAUUUGUGCCAAUUUGUGAGAUCGAUGCAUAUAUAUGGUGCAUACACUACCAGAAGA